UGGGGAAUCUUGCGCAAUGGGCGAAAGCCUGACGCAGCCAUGCCGCGUGAAUGAUGAAGGUCUUAGGAUUGUAAAAUUCUUUCAGCAGGGACGAUAAUGACGGUACCUGCAGAAGAAGCCCCGGCUAACUUCGUGCCAGCAGCCGCGGUAAUACGAAGGGGGCUAGCGUUGCUCGGAAUUACUGGGCGUAAAGGGAGCGUAGGCGGGUCGUCAAGUUGGGGGUGAAAGCCCAGGGCUCAACCCUGGAACUGCCUUCAAAACUGGCGACCUAGAGUAUGGUAGAGGUGUGUGGAACUCCGAGUGUAGAGGUGAAAUUCGUAGAUAUUCGGAAGAACACCAGUGGCGAAGGCGACACACUGGGCCAUUACUGACGCUGAGGCUCGAAAGCGUGGGGAGCAAACAGG
rnacentral:rRNA from 1 species